rnacentral:rRNA from 1 species
GUGGAAAACUUUCUUGUCAAAGUCUGAUCUCGUCAGAUCUCAGAAGCUAAGUGAGGCUGGGCCUGGUUUGUACUUGGAUUGAAGAUCGCUGGGAAAAUCAGGUGCCACA